AGGAAGGAGAUUGGGGGUGUGGUUGUUGCGCACCUUUGUUUGUUAGGAUCUUUUGUUUUAGUACUAUACUUUUUUUGUUUUUCCAUUAUUUUGCAAAAUAUAGUUUUUGUUUUUCUCUUUUCAACUAUCCUAACAGCGCAGGCUGCAUUUUCUUGACCACCAGUUUUUCCCUGCAUUCCUUUUUUGUUUGGGGUUCUGUUUGUUUUUGCCAGUUUUUUUGUUCAAAGGAUUUACAACAACUGCAUUGCAGAUUCACAGAACCAGCACCGGAUCAAGAGCAGCCAGGAUUCAGACCCCACAAGCCCCCCUUCCACUCCAGUCUCUCAAGAAGGAGAAUCCUCGAGCCCCUCUUCCACUCCUGUCUCUCAAGGUA